rnacentral:lncRNA from 1 species
GGAACUCCUAAGUUAAGUGAGUUAGGGCUAGAACAAUCCUAGGAUGGGUGACCCAUUGGGAAGUUGCUCGUGAGUUCCUAGAAACAAAGCCAUGAGGGCAGAGAGGGGGGGCCCAAAGUGGACAAUAUCGUGCUACGGCAGACCCGAGAUGUGACAAUUUGGUAUCAAAGCCACUCUGCUGUGUGGUGCGAGUGUGUCGAUGAGGAGGUCGGGCCCCUAAGGGGAUGGAUUGUAACAUCCCACAUCUACCAACGAAGAGGGGGUGAUGUGCCUUAUAUGUACAUGCCCGCCUUCAUCUAGCAACGAAGCCUUUUGGGAGUUCACUGGCUUCAAAGUCAUGAGAACUUCGGAGUUAAGCGAGUUAGGAGUUAAGCGAGUUAGGGCUAAAGCAAUCCCAAGAUGGGUGACCCACUGGGAAGUUGCUCGUGAGUUUCCAGAAACAAAACCGUGAGGCAAGAGAGAGGGGCCCAAAGCAAACAAUAUUGUGCUACGACGGAGCCGAUCCCUGGAUGUGACAAUAUUCGGCCAGUGGAUAUUGCCUGUACCCGCUUACACUGGCGGAUCUACAUAGGCGCAAGGAGGUGCACUUGCACCUCCCUUCGUCGGAAAAACAAUUGUAGGUGCUUCAAACUGCCCCUUUGCUCAACUGGUGUAUAGAUUACCUUAUUUCCAUUUUCAACAUUUAAGUAAAUGUCUUUGUCAUUUUACUUUAAUUUAUUUUU